UACAGAGGUCCCAAGCGUUGUUCGGAUUCAUUGGGCGUAAAGGGUGCGUAGGCGGCGCGGUAAGUCGGGUGUGAAAUCUCGGAGCUUAACUCCGAAACUGCAUUCGAUACUGCCGUGCUUGAGGACUGGAGAGGAGACUGGAAUUUACGGUGGAGCGGUGAAAUGCGUAGAUAUCGGAAGGAACACCGGUGGCGAAAGCGGCACGCUGGGCCCGUACUGACGCUGAGGCGCGAAAGCCAGGGUAGCAAACGGG
rnacentral:rRNA from 1 species